rnacentral:ncRNA from 1 species
UCUCUCUUGACGAAUCGUCAUCCCUUUGUGGAUGGCUUGCCUGCAAAGGCUAGUCAGGAGAGUUUCU